ACCUGGCUGGCUCAGUGGGUAGAGCAUGAAACUCUUGAUCUCAGGAUUGUGAGUUCAAGCCCCACACUGGGUG
rnacentral:tRNA from 1 species